AGCUACGGCCAUACUACUCUGAACACGCCCGAUCUUGUCUGAUCUUGGAAGCUAAGCAGGGUCAGGCCUGGUUAGUGCUUGGAUGGGAGCUCCCCCCCCCUUUGUUGUUGUUU